rnacentral:rRNA from 1 species
UACGUAGGGUGCGAGCGUUUGUCCGGAAUUAUUGGGCGUAAAGAGCGUGUAGGCGGUUUGGUAGGUCCGCUGUGAAAACUCGAGGCUCAACCUCGAGACGCCGGUGGAAACCAUCAGGCUAGAGUCCGGAAGAGGAGAGUGGAAUUCCGUGGUGUAGCGGUGAAAUGCGCAGAUAUCAGGAAGAACACCCGUGGCGAAGGCGGCUCUCUGGGACGGUACUGACGCUGAGACGCGAAAGCGUGGGGAGCGAACAGG